UGGUUAGUUACGUGCUCACGGAAGAGGUGGGUCUUUAGCAGUUUCUAGAAGAUAGUGACAGAUUCUGCUGAAGUUGGAAGUUCAUUCCACCACUGAGUGACAGUUAGCAUGAAGGUUCUGGAAAGGGACCUUGAGCCACGCUGAGUAGGCACUACUAAGCGUCGGUCGUUAAUCGAUUGCAGAUUGUGUGAGGGAACGUAAGCCUUCAGGAGAGUGUUGAGGACCAUUCUUAGAUGAAUACACAGUGGGAGUGCUUGGGAGGGAUGCUAGGUGAUUUACUCUUUCAAGCAGAUGGCCGCAGAGGGAGAAGACUAAGAAUGGACUACAUUGACUCUAAAAUGCUGAAUAAGAGGCUGCCACAUGCUGCCUAUUUGUUCUGCA
ensembl:lncRNA